GUAAGACCAGAGGAAGAUAUGUUCAAAUGACAUGGUGAACCUAUAACCUUGACAUAAAAAUAGAGAACUUGGGUCAUGAAAUAGUUUUCUUCAAAUUCCACAACCUUCAUUUGUAAAAGAUAUAAAGUCCCAAAGCAGUUGACCUUAAGUAUGAAGGUUAAACAGUAAAAUGUACAUAUUAUACAGUUACUAUAUACAAGCACUUUCUAAGGAAUGAGGAUGCAUCAAAUAACAAAGGAGAUAUUCUCUUGUCCUCAUGGAACUUAUACUUUAAAAAGGAUGCUAUAAGUAGUAUCACCAUAAUCUAAAUUACCACCUUUCUUGCCUGGAAUGCAGCAACAGUGACUUCCACCAAGAAAUAAGGUAAAGCUGAAUAUUGGAAGGUGAGAAAAGGUGUGAUAGAGAGAAAAGAUAUCCCAGAGGGCGAUAACUCAGUCCAUCAGGCCCUGAAUCCACCCAGCAGCUGACUGCAGAAACAUGAGUGAGCUUGGUGCAACCACAAAACCAGAAGCACAGAAGAGCCUGAAUAGCUGAACUAUAGAAAUGGGAACUAAGUAAUUAUUUUAAGACAAUAAAAUUUAGAAUUAUUUGUUA